rnacentral:lncRNA from 1 species
CCAGCAGACUGGCUUUGUGAAAAAAAGAGUUGUAAUUGUUUUUGCUUGAUUGUUGUUUCAGGUAAGAGUGAAUUUGGCUACAAGUAAUGGUGCAGUGGCUGGUUCCUGGCAGUGGCUCCAAUCUCUUUGGGGUUGUUUCCCACGGAUGUGAAGGAGCUGAGAACUUGAGGAAGGUGAUGCCUCCUCGCUAGGUGCCUGCCUAUGACUGAGGAUCAUUAGAGGUUGACAGCCAUUGUGGAGGCACCCAAAACACCAAAAGGAGGUUAGUUACUGAUGCUCUCUGUGUUCAUUGUCUUCUGCUUCAAUUAUGUCUUUCUAGAUG